rnacentral:lncRNA from 1 species
AGGACCAAGCGGUGCUCGGUUGGUCAGCCGCGUGGGCGCGCGAGCUGCCGGCGCGAGUUCGAUUCCUGGGGAUCGCAACUCGCGUCUCUCACCUCCCAAAAUCCUAAGCGUGUGGUAGGGACACGCACGCAUGUGUGUACGUGUGUCGUGGUGUGUGUUCGUGUGCGUCCCGUGUUGUAUCCUUCAAAAAAAACUUUUUCGGCCCAGUCGUUUCAGCCAGAUGAUUAAAUCUAUGGCCCAUAUGUUGUUCACCGACAUGUUCGAUUUUUUUUGUCCCAAAUUAAGGCCCAGAUACACAAGCACACAAUAAUGUCCACAAACGUAUAUUUGGGAUGCUCAUCCAUGCUAGGCAUGAUAUAUUAUUUCAAGUAGCAUGAUAUUUAAUUGAUAAUUAAAAUAA